rnacentral:misc_RNA from 1 species
GAUGAAGAACGGAGCGAAAUGCGAUAAGUAGUGUGAAUUGCAGAAUUCAGUGAAUCAUCGAAUCUUUGAACGCACAUUGCGCCCCUUGGUAUUCCAUGGGGCAUGCCUGUUCGAGCGUCAUUUGUACCUUCAAGCUCUGCUUGGUGUUGGGUGUUUGUCUCGCCUCUGCGUGUAGACUCGCCUCAAAACAAUUGGCAGCCGGCGUAUUGAUUUCGGAGCGCAGUACAUCUCGCGCUUUGCACUCAUAACGACGACGUCCAAAAGUACAUUUUUACACUCUUGACCUCGGAUCAGGCAGGGAUACCCGCUGAACUUAAGCAUAUCAAUAAGCGGAGGA